GGUCGCUAUAUUCCGAACCUCGUCGAUUUUUGGGACCAAUGACAUAACAUUUGAUAAGAUGAUAGAUGGGACAAAGACGUUGGGUGAGCCAGUUUUCGGUAACUUGGGGGAGGGGGUAAUUGGAAUAUGUGGGGAAACGUUUCCCAGCUUCAUUGAACUGGAGGUCUUAUCGAUAGAGACAGAAGUCUUGUCAGGUCUAGUGGUACUAGAAAAUUGUGAUGGAACUGUGGUGGGUACUGGUACAGGAAAAUCGGGAACCGGAGGAUGGAACAUCGAUUGAUGGAACAGGGGAGAAUAGUUCAGAUUGGGGGGAAAAGAGAAUUGGUUGCCAUGGAGAUGUGGUAUUUUGGAGGGGGGAGGCCUUUUAGUAGGAUUUGCUGCAUUUUUAUGCAAGAAGUCACAUCUAGGGCCCUUCAUGCAAUAGUAUUUAUUGCCUUUUCAAAAAUUUGGAGGUUCUAACUUUUUUCGUAUUAUUUAGAGGCCCAAGGUGGUGUGAAGAAUAAACAGGGGUAGCGUUUGGUGGUGC